AUACGUAGGGGGCAAGCGUUAUCCGGAUUUACUGGGUGUAAAGGGAGCGUAGACGGAAGGCCAAGUCUGAUGAGAAAGCCCGCGGCUCAACUGCGUGACUGCAUAGGAAACUGGUCAUCUGGAGUGCAGGAGGGGCAAGCAGAAUUCCUAGUGUAGCGGUGAAAUGCGUAGAUAUUAGGAUGAACACCUGUGGCGAAGGCGUCUUAGUGGACAGUAAAUGACACGGAGGCACGAAGGCGUGGGGAUCAAACAGGUUUAGAUACCCUGGUAGGCCACGCAGUAGACGAUGCACACUAGGUGGUGGGUAGUAGCGCUCAGUACCGUAGCGACCGCGUUAAGUGUGCCGCCUGGGGAGUAUGCUAGCAAGGGUGAAGCUCAAAGGAAUUGACGGGG
rnacentral:rRNA from 1 species